rnacentral:rRNA from 1 species
ACGCUCGACACCUACGGGAGGCAGCAGUCGGGAAUAUUGCGCAAUGGAGGAAACUCUGACGCAGUGACGCCGCGUAUGGGAAGAAGGUUUUCGGAUUGUAAACCAUUUUAGACAGGGAAGAAAAAAGACAGUACCUGUAAAAUAAGCUCCGGCUAACUACGUACCAGCAGCCGUGGUAAUCUGAGCGGGCUGGCAAGGC